rnacentral:rRNA from 1 species
GACGAACGCUGGCGGCGUGCUUAACACAUGCAAGUCGAACGGAAAGGCCCUGCUCUUGUGGGGUGCACGAGUGGCGAAAGGGUGAGUAACACGUGAGUAACCUGCACUUGACUUUGGGAUAACUCCUGGAAAAUGGGGCUAAUAUCGGAUAGGAGCUCUUGCUGCAUGGUGGGGGAUGGAAAGUUUCGGCGGUUGGGGAUGGACUCGCGGCUUAUCAGCUUGUUGGUGGGGUAGUGGCUUACCAAGGUUUCGACGGGUAGCCGGCCUGGGAGGGUGACCGGCCACAUUAGGACUGAGGUACGGCCCAGACUCCUACGGGAGGCAGCAGUGGAGAAUAUUGCACAAUGGGCGGAAGCCAGAUACAGCAACGCCGCGUGCGGGAUAACGGCCUUCGGGUGAUAAACCGCUUUCGCCUGUGACGAAGCGUGAGUGACGGUAAUGAGUAAAAAAGCACCGGCUAACUACGUG